GAUGAACGCUGGCGGCGUGCUUAACACAUGCAAGUCGAACGGAAAGGCCCAAGCUUGCUUGGGUACUCGAGUGGCGAACGGGUGAGUAACACGUGGGUGAUCUGCCCUGCACUUCGGGAUAAGCCUGGGAAACUGGGUCUAAUACCGGAUAGGACCACCUCUUGGAUGUUGUGGUGGAAAGUUUUUUCGGUGUGGGAUGAGCUCGCGGCCUAUCAGCUUGUUGGUGGGGUAAUGGCCUACCAAGGCGUCGACGGGUAGCCGGCCUGAGAGGGUGUACGGCCACAUUGGGACUGAGAUACGGCCCAGACUCCUACGGGAGGCAGCAGUGGGGAAUAUUGCACAAUGGGCGCAAGCCUGAUGCAGCGACGCCGCGUGGGGGAUGACGGCCUUCGGGUUGUAAACUCCUUUCGCUAGGGACGAAGCGUUUUGUGACGGUACCCGGAGAAGAAGCACCGGCUAACUACGUG
rnacentral:rRNA from 1 species